GUUUGAGUGGGAUGACCGACGCUCACAAUUUAAAAUUGUUGGCGUGGGAUGGCCGACGCAUAGGCUCCACAACUAAAUCAACAUGUUUUUAUUAGGUUAACUUAAGUGGGGAAUUUUUCAGAAUUCGCUUUUCUCCUUCACCGGGAGUUUUCACUUGACCCUUUUCCCCUUGCCACCACUUGCAUUAUUCCACUUUCCCCCUUACAAGGUGCCAAUUUGUAGGGAUUGAGCGAAGAAUGGGAGUGACCGAGAGAGUAUCGACGCGAGCUGCUGUAGCGAGGCGUGCUCCUUCGACGAAGACGAGGCUUGUGAGAAGAGUGUGCAACGAGCUUCUGUCACCCUUCAGCUCUGUGACGAAGUGGUGGUUGUUCACUCCCUUCUCUGCGAACACCAAAGCGGCUUCCUUCUAUACGACGGAGUGGUGGUUGGGAGGCGCGAUUGGGAGGCCAUUGAGUGGCAAAAUCUGGAAUUGCAAGGCGAGGGGUUUUCGUUCUCACUAGACAGAUUUUUUGAAGCGUUUAGGUGGUGCUAUGAUGGGAGGUGGUCUUGUGAUUGGAAUCAAUGUGUUUGGGUUAAGUAAACACUUUGGAUCGGAGGUGAAAGUUCUGUUGGCAGCAAUACACAAGAUCAGUUCAGUCGACGAUAAUGACAAAGCUAUUGUUCGUCGUCCUUUAGCCGACGCAAACAGUCUUUGCAUCGAUGAUUUUGGAGUCUACACUGUGCCGUCGCGAGACCGACGCCCUAGACGUAUUGGCGUGGGCUUUUGCAUUGUUGCGUUCUAUUUUGGCCCACGCAAAUCUCUAAUAUUCUUGUAGUGAUUGGAUGUAUGACUGAUUCAUUUAAAUAAAAUGUUCUGUGGUUGAUGAA